AACCUCCGCAAUGUGAGAAAUCGCGACGGGGGGAUCCCAAGUGCCAUUCUUAACGGGAUGGCUUUUCAUUAGUGUAAAGAGCUUUUGGAAUAAGGGCUGGGCAAGACCGGUGCCAGCCGCCGCGGUAACACCGGCAGCUCUAGUGGUAGUAGUUUUUAUUGGGCCUAAAGCGUCCGUAGCCGGUUUAAUAAGUCUCUGGUGAAAUCCUGUAGCCUAACUGUGGGAAUUGCUGGAGAUACUAUUAGACUUGAGACCGGGAGAGGUUAGAGGUACUCCCAGGGUAGAGGUGAAAUUCUGUAAUCCUGGGAGGACCGCCUGUUGCGAAGGCGUCUAACUGGAACGGUUCUGACGGUGAGGGACGAAAGUUAGGGGCGCGAACCGGAUUAGAUACCCGGGUAGUCCUAACUGUAAACGAUGCGGACUUGGUGUUGGGGUGGCUUUGAGCUGCUCCAGUGCCGAAGGGAAGCUGUUAAGUCCGCCGCCUGGGAAGUACGGUCGCAAGACUGAAACUUAAAGGAAUU
rnacentral:rRNA from 1 species